rnacentral:rRNA from 1 species
CCUACGGGUGGCUGCAGUGGGGAAUAUUGGGCAAUGGGCGCAAGCCUGACCCAGCAAUGCCGCGUGAAGGAAGAAGGCUUUCGGGUUGUAAACUUCUUUGACAGGGGAAGAGCAGAAGACGGUACCCUGAAAACAAGCCACGGCUAACUACGUGCCAGCAGCCGCGGUAAUACGUAGGUGGCAAGCGUUGUCCGGAUUUACUGGGUGUAAAGGGCGUGUAGCCGGGAAGGCAAGUCAGAUGUGAAAUCCGGAGGCUCAACCUCCGAAUUGCAUUUGAAACUGUUUUUCUUGAGUACUGGAGAGGCAGACGGAAUUCCUUGUGUAGCGGUGAAAUGCGUAGAGAUCGGGAGGAACACCAGUGGCGAAGGCGGCCUACUGGGCUUUAACUGACGCUGAGGCACGAAAGCGUGGGUAGCAAACAGGAUUAGAUACCCGAGUAGUC